rnacentral:rRNA from 1 species
UACAGAGGGUGCAAGCGUUGUUCGGAAUUAUUGGGCGUAAAGCGCGUGUAGGCGGCUUUGCAAGUCGGGUGUGAAAGCCCUCAGCUCAACUGAGGAAGUGCGCCCGAAACUGCAGAGCUUGAGUGCCGGAGAGGGUGGCGGAAUUCCCCAAGUAGAGGUGAAAUUCGUAGAUAUGGGGAGGAACACCGGUGGCGGAGGCGGCCACCUGGACGGUAACUGACGCUGAGACGCGAAAGCGCGGGGAGCAAACAGG